rnacentral:rRNA from 1 species
UCUUGCAAACUAAAGAUGGCGACCGGCGCACGGGUGAGUAACACGUAUCCAACCUGCCGAUAACUCGGGGAUAGCCUUUCGAAAGAAAGAUUAAUAUCCGAUGGUAUAUUAAAACCGCAUGGUUUUACUAUUAAAAAAUUUCGGUUAUCGAUGGGGAUGCGUUCCAUUAGUUUGUUGGCGGGGUAACGGCCCACCAAGACUACGAUGGAUAGGGGUUCUGAGAGGAAGGUCCCCCACAUUGGAACUGAGACACGGUCCAA